rnacentral:rRNA from 1 species
UACGUAGGUGACAAGCGUUGUCCGGAUUUACUGGGCGUAAAGAGCGCGCAGGCGGUCGUUCAAGUCGAGUGUGAAAGCCCCCGGCUCAACUGGGGAGGGUCAUUCGAUACUGAUCGACUCGAAGGCAGGAGAGGGAAGUGGAAUUCCCGGUGUAGUGGUGAAAUGCGUAGAUGUCGGGAGGAACACCAGUGGCGAAGGCGGCUCUCUGGGACGGUACUGACGCUGAGACGCGAAAGCGUGGGGAGCGAACAGG